AUGCUUUACACAUGCAAGUCGAGCGGCAGCAUGGGUGCUUGCACCUGAUGGCGAGCGGCGAACGGGUGAGUAAUACAUCGGAACGUGCCCAGACGUGGGGGAUAGCUCGGCGAAAGCCGGAUUAAUACCGCAUACGAUCUACGGAUGAAAGUGGGGGACCGCAAGGCCUCACGCGUUUGGAGCGGCUGAUGGCAGAUUAGGUAGUUGGUGAGGUAAAGGCUUACCAAGCCUACGAUCUGUAGCUGGUCUGAGAGGACGAUCAGCCACAUCGGGACUGAGACACGGCCCGAACUCCUACGGGAGGCAGCAGUGGGGAAUUUUGGACAAUGGGGGAAACCCUGAUCCAGCCAUUCCGCGUGCAGGACGAAGGCCUUCGGGUUGUAAACUGCUUUUGUACGGAACGAAAAGGCUCCGAAUAACACUUGGGGUUCAUGACGGUACCGUGAGAAUAAGCACCGGCUAACUACGUGCCAGCAGCCGCGGUAAUACGUAGGGUGCGAGCGUUAAUCGGAAUUACUGGGCGUAAAGCGUGCGCAGGCGGUUUUGUAAGACAGAGGUGAAAUCCCCGGGCUCAACCUGGGAACUGCCUUUGUGUCUGCAAAGCUGGAGUGCGGCAGAGGGGGAUGGAAUUCCGCGUGUAGCAGUGAAAUGCGUAGAUAUGCGGAGGAACACCGAUGGCGAAGGCAGUCCCCUGGGCCUGUACUGACGCUCAUGCACGAAAGCGUGGGGAGCAAACAGGAUUAGAUACCCUGGUAGUCCACGCCGU
rnacentral:rRNA from 1 species